CCCUUAGAUGUUCUGGGCCGCACACGCGCUACACUGAAGGAGGCAGCGUGUACUCCUGGAUCGAAAGAUUUGGGUAACCCGCGAAUCUCCUUCGUGCUAGGGAUUGAGGUUUGCAAUUAUCCUUCAUGAACGAGGAAUUCCCAGUAAGUGCAAGUCAUAAGCUUGCGCUGACUACGUCCCUGCCCUUUGUACACACCGCCCGUCGCUACUACCGAUUGAAUGAUUUAGUGAGGACUUCGGACUGAGACCGAUGCGGCUUUCGGGCUGCGUCGGUAUUCUGGAAAGAUGUCCAAACUGUAUCAUUUAGAGGAAGUAAAAGUCGUAACA
rnacentral:rRNA from 1 species